UGGCGUCACUGCACUUCAGCCAGGGUGAAAGAGCCAGACACUGUCUGAAAAAAAAAAAAAGGAAGAGAAAUAUGAAAGUUUGACCCCAAUCGGAAGGAACAGGAGAAAUAGCACUCAGGUACAUAACAUUGCUCUAGAAAUAUAAUUCUCCACAAGUGCUAUGCAAGUCUGGCUGCUGAAACUGCCUGUUGUAACCUGAGACCAGUUUGCUCUACAGCUGCUGAGAUAACUUGCUGCAACUCUAGAACUAGUUUUGUCCACUACCAUCGCCCACCCAGCAGAUCUUGCCAGCUCCCCAAAACUUUAAUAACACAAAAGAACCUUCUCUCAGCCGCGCACAUAACAUUCUUCUUUUGUAUAAAACCCCCAACCUUCUCUUUGUACUUCAGACAUACUGAAGACCACCUGGUCUGCCUGUAUGUCCAAACUGCAACUAUUUCUUCCCAAAUAAAAUGUGAAAUUUAGACAGUCAUCUCUACAUUUUUAUGUUGACUCCAACAAUAUCAUUAUAGAUCUGCCAAUUCUGACGUCUGACAUAGCUGAGGAACUUUCAUGUUUAUGAUAAAAAAUUCUCCCCUCUUUUGAAAUCAGGUUUGAAUUAAAUUUUUGAUUAUUUAUCACAUAAGCAGCCUUAAUGUUUUUUCUAUUAUCCUGACAUGUAAUUUUUUACCUUUUUAAUAUCCAGAGGUCCUCAGAAUCUUGAAGGGCAGAGGCCUCUCUCAGUCUUUGAGUGCCCUGAUUCAAUCUAAUGAUUGCUGCCCACUGCAGCUCGAUCCAGUCCACGUUUCCUGGUGAGUCAGAGGUCUGAGCUCAGUAGAGUGGUCCCCAGUUCUUAGGAACGGUUUAAUGGGCUUAAGAGGCUGUGAUACUGAGGAUCCAAUAUCUUGGGUAAGACCAGUCCUCUGCUUUUCAUUCUUAAUUUCAUCACAAAAAUCAGGGUGAAACUCAAAAAGAUCUAGGAAUGACUGUUCUAGGGAAUGACUGUUCUAGAGAAUGACUGUUCUAGGGAAACACAUUAGGUCCCAGUGGCUUUAGCUGUGGAGUCAACUGUAGAGCCAAUCAUUUAGGAUAGGUUUCUAACUAUUGUUUCUAAGUGAUUGGCUGAACAAUAUAUGACCCGGACAUAAAAUAUGCUGGGUAAAAUCUAUUGUCCAUUUUGUUUCUUUUGGGAAGUUCAUCCUAAGUACUCAAGUUAACUUCAGAAGAUCAAUGAUUCACACAUGGCCAACUGUGCCCUGGGGGGACACUUGGCAGUGUCUGGAGGAAGCUGUUUUUUGGUUGUCACAACUAGGGGGAGAUGUUACUGGUAUUUAGUGGGUAGAGGCUGAGAUGCUACUAAAUAACCUAUUAGGUUGGUGCAAAAGUUAUUGCGGUUUUUACCAUUACAUUCAAUGGCAAAAUCACAAUUACUGUUGCACCAACAUAAUAUAAUACACAGGACAACCCAUAACAAUAAAUUUUCUAGCCCUAAACGUUGUUAAUACCAACCUUAAAUAAGGUAGUCUAGCUGCAAUCAUGUGUUACACUCCCUCUCAGUCUUCUAUUUUCUCUCAUGUGUGCUGGGUAAGCUGGGUGUUUACAAUUAUUUCUACUACUUCCUAGUUAAGGUUUUCAUUUUUCUUUGUUAUUUGGAGAAACAGAUACGUUUCAAAAUUGGCAUGAUAAUUUUUCUCUGGUGAAGUUAGGUAAUUUAAAAGGACUAUUACCUAAGCAAGUGGGAGCAGGUUUUACUUAGCUGCUUCCCGACUCCUUGUAAAGUAAGUUUCUAAGUACUGCCAUUAAUGUUUACAAGGUGCUGCUCAGUUAUUUUUUUUUAUUAUUAUUUUUUAAAGAUUCAACACUGUGUAAGAUUUUUGCUGCUUUACAGGAGCUCACAAUCUAGUAGUGGAAUUGGGAAAAACAUUGAAAUUACUUUAGUACAAGGGAGCACCUCUCAUGUAUAAUAAGUUACUGCUGGGGCCCAGAAAGAUAAUACCCCCAAAUAUGCUGCUUUGUCCUUCAAACUGAGAGCAUCUGGGCAGCAUCGCAUGUAGGAAAGGGCUUUCUCUGAAGUUGCUCUGCCUGCCUUAAAGGCUGAGCCCUCCAGAAGCUCAACUGUUGUAAAUCCCUUUCCCAGAGAGUUCAUCAACCAGGAGGGAGGAUGACACGUGACAGGAAGAAAGAGCAGAGUUGACGCCACACCAGAGCCCAGACAGACUUUGUCCCAUGCUGUGGUUGGUACUUUGGGCCCAUUCAUCUCCCCUAAAAAGUAUUUAUUCUUCCUCUACAAUUGCCUUCAUUUCCUACUUCCUUUUCCCCUAUGAAGGAGGAUACAAGCUUCGAAAUCUCAUUGGGUUAUUGGGUCCUCACUCUCCUGAGCUGCUCCCAUGCAUGUAAUGUAUUUAUAUGCCUUUUCUCCUGUUAAUCUGUCUGUUGUCUGUUUAUUUCUCAAAUACUGAACCCCCAUAGAGGAGAGAAUUCUCUUGCCCUAAUGUCACCUACUCCUGGGGCGAAUGAACACUGCUGGACAAACAUAACUACUCUCAAGGGCCACUCCCAGCUUGCCAUUUUCCUCUGGUGGCAUCUCUAGGACCACAGACUUCUUCAGUGCUCUUAGAAGCUAACAGGCAACUGCCUGUGGUGAGGCUGCCAGCUUUAAUCAUUCAGCUUCCCCUGUGCAAAGACAGCGAGGAGAAAAACGCAGCUCAGCAAGGCUGAGAGGGCAUGAAAUUGUGUUAAGCAGCAUUCAUGACAAUGACUGGAUUUGCUAUUUUAAACAUACUUCACUGUGGAAAACUAGUCACCCACUUAUUGCCAGUUUUUUCACCAACAUGCUGAAAGAUGUAUAUAUUCACUAGAUGAAAUGUGAUUGCAAUGAAAGAUUUCACCAUAUUCUUCAAUUCCGAAUCAAUAAUAUAGAUGUACAUUAUUGACUACCAACUAAACUCUACAGACAACAACGUGCAGGAUUGGCAUGCAGGAUUUGGAGCCAAGAUGGCUGACUAGCGGUAGCCACGAAGAAAAAUCUCCCACCAAGAGACCAGGCCAUGGAGAAAACUGGCACACUCUAAGCAGAUCUUCAGAAAGACAGCAUUGAGAGUGGACAGAGGAAGGACAGAGACCUUGGGAUGAAGGGGUUGGAAGUUGGGACCAUGCAUGGGGCUGCUGAGCACCAGGACUUGUCCCUGUCCCCCACUUCCCCGGUGGCUCCCAGGGAACUGAUGUGUUAAACUGGCCAGGAGUGGCCUGCUCUCACCAGGGACCUCCAGAAUCCUAGCUGCAAGAGACCCCACAAGCUCCAUGACACUUGGGAUGGCAGGGAGGGAAGUUUGGAGAGGGAGCAGGGGCAGGACUGUAGCUUGUGAGGAGCCCAGAAGGUUUGGCAUGGGAAGGGCUGCAGUGGAGCAUGGCCAGGAAUGCCUAUUUGCCAAAGCUUGCCAAGCUCUUCUAGGUGCCUUUGGCCUUUGGUAACUGCCAAACCUGGACAGAGGAGGGUAGUCUUGCCUAUGGGAUGGGGGCAGUCUUAUCUGAGCAUCCGCUUGUCUGCUGGCCUCUCCUAGGGCCCCAGCCUUCUCAUCCCAACUUGCAUUUCAGCCCUCAGCCUUGGUUGCCCAAGUAGGGUGCUUCCUGGGAUCCAUCAUUAUAGCUCCUUCACUGGAAGACCACACCUAGCAGACCAUGCCUAACCAUUGUAGAGUUCCAGCAGACCGCCCCCCACCGAUGUGCAGCCACCCACUUGCAGCCUCCCUUGACUGAACCUCACUCCAUCGCUUUGCCAUCAUGCACUUUUCCAUGAGUCCAGCCCUUCCCUAUGAACCACUUUGCUGGCACAUGUGCAUAAGCAGACCUCCCCUCCCCUGAUCUCCUGUCAUGUGCACAUGCACCGUGUUGCCCCACUGCUGCUGGCACAAGUGUGCACACACUGACACUGCUGCCUCUUUUCUGACAAUGCAUGAAGGCCAGCAUACUGCCCCCACUGGUGCCCUGGCCCUGCCAACAUGUGGACACUCCACUGCACCAUCACUCUUAUUGAUGUGUGUGCAGGUGUGGGUCCUACUGCCAUCAUCCCGAAGAAGGACUGUGGCUGGGACCCCACAUUAGAGGGUUGUUGCCAGGGUACCAGAAACAUUUUAGCUUCCACCCAGCGCUGGAGGUGUCUAACCUCAAGGGGCCAAAGAAUAAAGCCAGGAACCCAGUACCAGCCCCUCAAGACUAGAGCACACAGUUUAGAAGUGAUGAGCCCUUUUACCUCCACCCGCCAAAAUCUUCCAAGAUGAAGCCAGUUGAUUGAAUCCACCUUACAUCACAAUUAGACCCUCAAGGGCAUCAAAGAUAAACGCAAAACACAAAUCCAAAACCCAUCCAAAAGACAGCAACUUCAAAUAUUAAGGGACAAUCAGCCCACACAGCUAAAACAACACCAGUAUAAGAACUCUGGCAACUCAAAGAGCUACAGUGUCUUCUUACCUCCAAACAACCAUACUAGUUAACCAGCAGUGGUUAUUAACAACAUUGAAAUGGCUAAAAUGACAGACAUAUAAUUCAGAAUCUGGAUAGAAAUGAAGAUCAUUGAGAGUCAGGAGAAAAUUGAAACCCAAUCCAAGGAGUCUAAGGA